rnacentral:misc_RNA from 1 species
UCCGGUUUGGCACCGGCAGUCCUCCCAGAGUCCUCGACUUGACUCGCUAGCAACUGGGAGCGGGGGUUGCGCUCGUUGCGGGACUUAACCCAACAUCUCACGACACGAGCUGACGACAGCCAUGCAGCACCUGUGUAAGCUCCCCUUGCGGGGUCGUCAUCCUUUCAGGGUUCUACUACAUGCAUGUCAAGGCCAGGUAAGGUUCUUCGCGUUGCAUCGAAUUAAGCCACAUACUCCACCGCUUGUGCAGGCCCCCGUCAAUUUCUUUGAGUUUUAAUCUUGCGACCGUACUUCCCAGGCGGCACGUUUAACGCGUUAGCUUCGCCACAAAAGGGGUCGAUUCCUCUUACAGCAAACGUGCACCGUUUACGGCUAGGACUAC